AGAGUUUGAUCAUGGCUCAGGAUGAACGCUAGCGACAGGCUUAACACAUGCAAGUCGAGGGGCAGCGGGGGAGUAGCAAUACUCCCGCCGGCGACCGGCGCACGGGUGAGUAACACGUAUGAAACCUGCCCGUAGCAGGGGGAUAAGCGGAAGAAAUUCCGUCUAAUACCGCGUAACAACCCUUGGAGGCAUCUCCUCGGGUUUAAAGGGAGCGAUUCCGGCUACGGAUGGUCAUGCGUCGCAUUAGCUUGUUGGCGGGGUAACGGCCCACCAAGGCGACGAUGCGUAGGGGUUCUGAGAGGAAGGUCCCCCCACACUGGUACUGAGACACGGACCAGACUCCUACGGGAGGCAGCAGUGAGGAAUAUUGGUCAAUGGCCGCAGGGCUGAACCAGCCAAGUCGCGUGAGGGAUGACGGUCCUAUGGAUUGUAAACCUCUUUUGUCAGGGAGCAAAGGGCGCCACGUGUGGCGUUUUGCGAGUACCUGAAGAAAAAGCAUCGGCUAACUCCGUGCCAGCAGCCGCGGUAAUACGGAGGAUGCGAGCGUUAUCCGGAUUUAUUGGGUU
rnacentral:rRNA from 1 species